CCUACGGGGGGCAGCAGUCGAGAAUCAUUCACAAUGGGGGAAACCCUGAUGGUGCGACGCCGCGUGGGGGAAUGAAGGUCUUCGGAUUGUAAACCCCUGUCAUGUGGGAGCAAAUUAAAAAGAUAGUACCACAAGAGGAAGAGACGGCUAACUCUGUGCCAGCAGCCGCGGUAAUACAGAGGUCUCAAGCGUUGUUCGGAAUCACUGGGCGUAAAGCGUGCGUAGGCUGUUUCGUAAGUCGUGUGUGAAAGGCGGGGGCUCAACCCGCGCACGGCACAUGAUACUGCGAGACUAGAGUAAUGGAGGGGGAACCGGAAUUCUCGGUGUAGCAGUGAAAUGCGUAGAUAUCGAGAGGAACACUCGUGGCGAAGGCGGGUUCCUGGACAUUAACUGACGCUGAGGCACGAAGGCCAGGGGAGCGAAAGGGAUUAGAUACCCGAGUAGUC
rnacentral:rRNA from 1 species